rnacentral:lncRNA from 1 species
UCAAUAAUUUGUGGAACACGUAUUUAAGACUUAGUGGAAACUGCUGAAAUGCAGCUUCACAGCUGUCCGUCGUGAAGCACGGGGGCUUAGGUGCUGGGCAGCGUUAGGGCUGUUGGUGACGCACAGCCGACACCCAGGGAACACGCAGCUGCCAGCUGUUGGAAUGAGGCACAAGCAUGUUUCUGUUUGAGAAACAUGUGCUGGAAGGAACCGCUUGAGAGAUGUAUUUCAUCAGAGGAGACAGCAGACUCUCACUGAAAGAAGAAGCUAAUUCAGCAACUGUUUGCUGAGGAAUUCUAACAGUAAGUACUCCUACAAUUCUUCAUAAUUUAUUUCAUUUUUCUAAU